GACGAACGCUGGCGGCGUGCUUAACACAUGCAAGUCGAACGGAAAGUGCCCAGCUUGCUGGGUGACUCGAGUGGCGAACGGGUGAGUAACACGUGGGUGAUCUGCCCUGCACUUUGGGAUAAGCCUGGGAAACUGGGUCUAAUACCGAAUACACCUUGCUGGUCGCAUGGCCUGGUGGGGGAAAGCUUUUGCGGUGUGGGAUGGGCCCGCGGCCUAUCAGCUUGUUGGUGGGGUGAUGGCCUACCAAGGCGACGACGGGUAGCCGGCCUGAGAGGGUGUCCGGCCACACUGGGACUGAGAUACGGCCCAGACUCCUACGGGAGGCAGCAGUGGGGAAUAUUGCACAAUGGGCGCAAGCCUGAUGCAGCGACGCCGCGUGAGGGAUGACGGCCUUCGGGUUGUAAACCUCUUUCAGUACCGACGAAGCGUAAGUGACGGUAGGUACAGAAGAAGCACCGGCCAACUACGUGCCAGCCGCCGCGGUAACAC
rnacentral:rRNA from 1 species